AAACUCAGGAGAGUCUCUGAAAAAGAGCGCCGAAGGUGUAAUCAGCAGUGCGGUGAAAAACACGAACUGCUGAGAAUCUCUCAGGCAAAAGGAUGGAGGAAUG
rnacentral:ncRNA from 1 species